rnacentral:rRNA from 1 species
GGAGUAAAUCUAAACGGCCGCGGAAUUUUAACCGUGCUAAGGUAGCAUAAUCAUUUGUUCUUUAAUUAAGGACUUGUAUGAAUGGUUAAACGAAAUAAGACUAUCUAUAAAAUAUUAUAUAAAAAUUAUUUUUAAAGUGAAAAAACUUUAAUAAAAUAAAAAGACAAAAAGACCCUAUAGAGUUUUAUUCAUUAUAAUAAAUAAAUAUAAAUGAAUUUAGUUGGGGCAACUAAUGAAAAAAGAAAUUUCUUUUAACUAAUUUUAAAUAUAAUCAUUACCUUAAUAAUUUAAAAUAAAUUACCUUAGGGAUAACAGCGUAACUUUUUUUGAGAGUUCAAAUCGAAAAAAAAAAUUAC